GGUGACCUAGAAUUUGACUGUCAACCCUAAUAUAGUCAACCACAUUAUAUUUCAACCUUUUAAAUCCAUCAUAUGGAUUAUCUUAGUCAAAGUUUUACUAAAUUGAAAUACACUGAUGCAUAUCUCCUACUAAUUUAGAGGGGUCAAUUCUAUCUUGACUCAUGCACUGAUCUUAUAAGUACUUGACUGCACCCAGUAACCUUUCAUCAUUGAAUUAUAAAUUUAGAUGGUUCGGUACCAAAGUACAGUGAGUUGCUUAGAAGUCAUCGUGAUGAUC
rnacentral:lncRNA from 1 species